GAUGAACGCUGGCGGCGUGCUUAAUACAUGCAAGUCGAGCGAACAGACGAGGAUCUUGCUCCUCUGACGUUACCGGCGGACGGGUGAGUAACACGUGGAUAACCUACCUAUAUGACUUGGAUAACUUCGGGUAACCGGAGCUAAUACCGGAUAAUAUAUUUAACCGCAUGGUUCAAUAGAGAAAGACGGUUUUGCUGUCACUUAUAGAUGGAUCCGCGCCGCAUUAGCUAAUUGGUAAGGUAACGGCUUACCAAGGCAACGAUGGGUAGCCGACGUGAGAGGGGGAACGGCGACAGAGGAACUGAGACGCGGUCCUGACUCCGACGGGAGGCAGAAGCAGGGAAGGUAGCGAAAUGGGCGGAAUCUUGAAGGAGCAGCGCAGCGUGGGUGAUGAAGGGCUGCGGAUGGUAAGACUCUGUUAUGAGGGAAGAACGAUUGUGUAAGUGACGAUGCACGGCGUGACGGUAGCGAGUCAGAAAGCAACGGCUAACUACGUG
rnacentral:rRNA from 1 species